CGGUAGCACAAACAGACUCUGACUCUGUUUGUCUUGGUUCGAAUCCAGGUUCCCCAGCCA
rnacentral:tRNA from 1 species